rnacentral:lncRNA from 1 species
CAGUGUUCUAUGAGUCAUAUGGUUCAUCCUGAUUUAGGCUGUAAGCAGAUUGCAUCAUGGCGCGGAUACCAGGAGGUGGGGAUCAUGGGGGUCCAUCCUAGAGGCUGACCCAAGCAGAGGAAAGGAGAUAAUUACUGGAACAAUGUCUCCCCAUAGGCAUGUUUGUUAGGGACACAGAGGGAUCUUUGAUAGUAAUAGUAUAUAGGUGCAGUUAGAGGAGGUAGGAAGAUCUUGUUGCGCAAUCUCUAAGGAAAAGAGGUUUAUUUGGCUCACUGCUCUGUGGGCUGUACAAGAAGCAUGGCACCAGCAUCUGCUCCUGGUGAGAGGCUCAGGCUGCUUCCACUCAUGGCAGAAGCUUGCUCUGGCUAACAACCACUAUCAUCAAAGUUGUCUGAGGAAGACCUCCUGUUGCUGUGACUGACGGGACUCUUGGUGGAAGCCCUAUUCCCAUGUGCCCAUGGCUGCAGCUCCCCAAGGAAGCAGGACAUUGUUGGAUUCUCUAAGAAGCUCAGAGGAAGUUACUUCUCACUGUGGUGCCAUAUGGGAUUUGAAGUCGUUCUACUCAUGCUCUGUUUUUCAAUAAAGCUGCUUCUGCCUCUG